rnacentral:rRNA from 1 species
AAAUUGAAGAGUUUGAUCAUGGCUCAGAUUGAACGCUGGCGGCAGGCCUAACACAUGCAAGUCGAACGGUAACAGGAAGCAGCUUGCUCUUCGCUGACGACUGGCGGACGAGUGAGUAAUGUCUGGGAAACUGCCUGAUGGAGGGGGAUAACUACUGGAAACGGUAGCUAAUACCGCAUAACGUCGCAAGACCAAAGAGGGGGACCUUCGGGCCUCUUGCCAUCGGAUGUGCCCAGAUGGGAUUAGCUAGUAGGUGGGGUAACGGCUCACCUAGGCGACGAUCCCUAGCUGGUCUGAGAGGAUGACCAGCCACACUGGAACUGAGACACGGUCCAGACUCCUACGGGAGGCAGCAGUGGGGAAUAUUGCACAAUGCGCGCAAGCCUGAUGCAGCCAUGCCGCGUGUAUGAAGAAGGCCUUCGGGUUGUAAAGUACUUUCAGCGGGGAGGAAGGUGUUGUGGUUAAUAACCGCAGCAAUUGACGUUACCCGCAGAAGAAGCACCGGCUAACUCCGUGCCAGCAGCCGCGGUAAUACGGAGGGUGCAAGCGUUAAUCGGAAUUACUGGGCGUAAAGCGCACGCAGGCGGUUUGUUAAGUCAGAUGUGAAAUCCCCGGGCUCAACCUGGGAACUGCAUCUGAAACUGGCUUGCUUGAGUCUCGUAGAGGGGGGUAGAAUUCCAGGUGUAGCGGUGAAAUGCGUAGAGAUCUGGAGGAAUACCGGUGGCGAAGGCGGCCCCCUGGACGAAGACUGACGCUCAGGUGCGAAAGCGUGGGGAGCAAACAGGAUUAUAUACCCUGGUAGUCCACGCCGUAAACGAUGUCUACUUGGAGGUUGUGCCCUUGAGGCGUGGCUUCCGGAGCUAACGCGUUAAGUAGACCGCCUGGGGAGUACGGCCGCAAGGUUAAAACUCAAAUGAAUUGACGGGGGCCCGCACAAGCGGUGGAGCAUGUCGUUUAAUUCGAUGCAACGCGAAGAACCUUACCUGGUCUUGACAUCCACAGAAGAAUCCAGAGAUCCAUUUGUGCCUUAGGGAACUGUGAGACAGGUGCUGCAUGGCUGUCGUCAGCUCGUGUUGUGAAAUGUUGGGUUAAGUCCCGCAACGAGCGCAACCCUUAUCCUUUGUUGCCAGCGGUCCGGCCGGGAACUCAAAGGAGACUGCCAGUGAUAAACUGGAGGAAGGUGGGGAUGACGUCAAGUCAUCAUGGCCCUUACGACCAGGGCUACACACGUGCUACAAUGGCGCAUACAAAGAGAAGCGACCUCGCGAGAGCAAGCGGACCUCAUAAAGUGCGUCGUAGUCCGGAUUGGAGUCUGCAACUCGACUCCAUGAAGUCGGAAUCGCUAGUAAUCGUGGAUCAGAAUGCCACGGUGAAUACGUUCCCGGGCCUUGUACACACCGCCCGUCACACCAUGGGAGUGGGUUGCAAAAGAAGUAGGUAGCUUAACCUUCGGGAGGGCGCUUACCACUUUGUGAUUCAUGACUGGGGUGAAGUCGUAACAAGGUAACCGUAGGGGAACCUGCGGUUGGAUCACCUCCUUA